UACAGAGGUGGCAAGCGUUGUUCGGAAUUACUGGGCGUAAAGGGCGCGUAGGCGGCCUGGUCAGUCGGAUGUGAAAGCCCGGGGCUCAACCCCGGAACGGCAUCCGAGACGGCCAGGCUGGAGACCGGGAGAGGAGAGUGGAAUAGCCAGUGUAGAGGUGAAAUUCGUAGAUAUUGGCUGGAACACCGGUGGCGAAAGCGGCUCUCUGGCCCGGUUCUGACGCUGAGGCGCGAAAGCGUGGGGAGCAAACAGG
rnacentral:rRNA from 1 species